rnacentral:rRNA from 1 species
GAUGAACGCUGGCGGCGUGCUUAACACAUGCAAGUCGAACGAGCCUUCGGGCUAGUGGCGGACGGGUGAGUAACGCGUGGGAAUCUGCCCUCAGGAGGGGGAUAACGGCCGGAAACGGGCGCUAAUACCCCAUAUGCCGAGAGGUGAAAUGAAUUUCGCCUGAGGAUGAGCCCGCGUCUGAUUAGCUAGUUGGUGGGGUAAUGGCCCACCAAGGCGACGAUCAGUAGCUGGUCUGAGAGGAUGAUCAGCCACACUGGGACUGAGACACGGCCCAGACUCCUACGGGAGGCAGCAGUGGGGAAUUUUCCGCAAUGGGCGAAAGCCUGACGGAGCAACGCCGCGUGAGGGAUGAAGGCCUCUGGGCUGUAAACCUCUUUUCUCAAGGAAGAAGACAUGACGGUACUUGAGGAAUAAGCCACGGCUAAUUCCGUGCCAGCAGCCGCGGUAAUACGGGAGUGGCAAGCGUUAUCCGGAAUUAUUGGGCGUAAAGCGUCCGCAGGCGGCCUUGUAAGUCUGUCGUUAAAGCGUGGAGCUUAACUCCAUUUCAGCGAUGGAAACUACAAGGCUUGAGUGUGGUAGGGGCAGAGGGAAUUCCCGGUGUAGCGGUGAAAUGCGUAGAUAUCGGGAAGAACACCAGUGGCGAAGGCGCUCUGCUGGGCCAUAACUGACGCUCAUGGACGAAAGCCAGGGGAGCGAAAGGGAUUAGAUACCCCUGUAGUCCUGGCCGUAAACGAUGAACACUAGGUGUCGGGGGAAUCGACCCCCUCGGUGUCGUAGCUAACGCGUUAAGUGUUCCGCCUGGGGAGUACGCACGCAAGUGUGAAACUCAAAGGAAUUGACGGGGGCCCGCACAAGCGGUGGAGUAUGUGGUUUAAUUCGAUGCAACGCGAAGAACCUUACCAGGGUUUGACAUCCUGCGAAUCCCUUGGAACGAGGGAGUGCCUUCGGGAGCGCAGAGACAGGUGGUGCAUGGCUGUCGUCAGCUCGUGUCGUGAGAUGUUGGGUUAAGUCCCGCAACGAGCGCAACCCACGUCUUUAGUUGCCAGCAUUCAGUUGGGCACUCUAGAGAGACCGCCGGUGAUAAACCGGAGGAAGGUGUGGAUGACGUCAAGUCAUCAUGCCCCUUACAUCCUGGGCUACACACGUACUACAAUGCUACGGACAAAGGGUUGCAAGCUCGCGAGAGUUAGCUAAUCCCAUAAACCGUGGCUCAGUUCAGAUCGUAGGCUGCAACUCGCCUACGUGAAGGAGGAAUCGCUAGUAAUCGCAGGUCAGCAUACUGCGGUGAAUACGUUCCCGGGCCUUGUACACACCGCCCGUCACACCAUGGAAGUUGGCCAUGCCCGAAGUCGUUACUCCAACCCUUGUGGAGGAGGACGCCGAAGGUGGGGCUGAUGACUGGGGUGAAGUCGUAACAAGGUAGCCGUACCGGAAGGUGCGGCUGGAUCACCUCCU